rnacentral:rRNA from 1 species
CCUACGGGUGGCAGCAGUGGGGAAUAUUGGACAAUGGGCGAAAGCCUGAUCCAGCCAUGCCGCGUGUGUGAAGAAGGCCUUCGGGUUGUAAAGCACUUUCAGUGGGGAAGAAAGCCUUGGGGCUAAUAGCCUCGAGGAAGGACAUCACCCACAGAAGAAGCACCGGCUAACUCCGUGCCAGCAGCCGCGGUAAUACGGAGGGUGCGAGCGUUAAUCGGAAUUACUGGGCGUAAAGCGCGCGUAGGCGGUCUGAUAAGCCGGUUGUGAAAGCCCCGGGCUCAACCUGGGAACGGCAUCCGGAACUGUCAGGCUAGAGUGCAGGAGAGGAAGGUAGAAUUCCCGGUGUAGCGGUGAAAUGCGUAGAGAUCGGGAGGAAUACCAGUGGCGAAGGCGGCCUUCUGGACUGACACUGACGCUGAGGUGCGAAAGCGUGGGUAGCAAACAGGAUUAGAUACCCGAGUAGUC